UACGUAGGGGGCGAGCGUUGUCCGGAAUCACUGGGUGUAAAGGGUGCUCAGGCGGAUCGGUAAGUCAGAGGUGAAAUUUCACAGCUUAACUGUGAAUGUGCUUUUGAUACUGUCGGUCUAGAGUUCAGAAGAGGGCAAUGGAAUUCUUGGUGUAGCGGUGAAAUGCGUAGAUAUCAAGAAGAACACCAGUUGCGAAGGCGGUUGCCUGGUCUGUAACUGACGCUCAAGCACGAAAGCGUGGGGAUCAAACAGGAUUAGAUACCCUGGUAGUCCACGCCCUAAACGAUGAAUACUCGGUGUCGGGUCGUAAGAUUCGGUGCCUAAGCUAACGCUUUAAGUAUUCCACCUGGGGAGUACGAUCGCAAGGUUG
rnacentral:rRNA from 1 species